UAGGCUGGAGUACAGUGGUGCAACCAUAGCGCACUGCAGCCUUGACCUCCUGGGCUCAAGCGGUCUUCCCCUUCAACCUUCCAACUAACUGGGACCACAGGUUUCUACUUACUGAAUAGUUCCUUCGUGAAGUUUCAGGAUUGCAAAAUGCAGAAGCUUCGUCAUGUUAAAUAUACCUGGGAGGAGCCACGCCUCAUUUUUAAAGCUUUCCAGGGCAAUGAAUGAAGUCAGACCACUGACAACAGCCACCCUGUGGAAAGAGAGGUGUGGUGGCUGCCAUCUCCGUGCACAUGGCAGCCUGGCUGGAGAUGAAGUAUGCGAAGAAGGCACUGCAGACCUGAAUUUAUUGGCACAACCCUGGGACCAGCUGGGGACCAUGUAGAGCCUUGUCCCCUCCGGGUACUGUCAUGCACAUCCUUGGAAGAACAGACUCCAUCCUUUUUUCUUUUUCCAUGAGGGAUGACGAAACUGAAGAGCCUGAACCGAAGUUUUCUACCCAAAAGAAACACUGGCCCCACCGUGACGUAUCCUAACAUCCAAAUACCAGGAGGUGAGAUCCCUGGUAGCCAAGCCGAGAAUGAAGACAGCCGUUUAGACAUCUUGCUUCUGCUUCCAGUGAAUGAAUGAAGCCAAUGUUGCCCUUGGUUUAUCUACAUAAUGGCCUCGGCCCUUCAUCUGACUUCGUUUGGGACUUGUUGCAUGUCCGGGUCUGGGCAACAGACCCACAGGGCAAGGGCGCCGCACCAGCCUCGGGUUAGGGAUGCAAGCUGUUGCAUCUCAGGUGGCUUCUUCGGCACCCAACUUGUAAAAUGGACAUUUUUCUCCAGCGUCCUAGAGCUGCUGUCUAAAGCAACUGCUUACGAUGGGAACAGCAGACACUGCGGAUUCCAAAAGCAGAGGAGAAGGUGCGGGAAUCAAGGGUACUUAGUUCACUUCUUGGGGGACAGGAUGAUUAGAAGUCCAAGCUUCAGCAUCAUGCAAUAUACCCACGUAACAAACCUGCACAUCUCCCCUCUGAAUCUAACAUUUUAAAAAUAUUAAUAUAUAAAUAAUACAUAAAAUAGGCCGGGCGCGGUGGCUCAUGCCUGUAAUCUCAGCACUUGGGGAGGCCGAGGUGGGUGGAUCACCUGAGGUCAGGAGUUCAAGACCAGCCUGACCAACUUAGUGAAACCCCAUCUCUACUAAAAAUUUUUAAAAAUUAGCCAGGCGUGGUGGCAGGCGCCUGCAGUCUCAGCUACGCGGGAGGCUGGGGCAGGAAGAAUUGCUUGAACCCAGGAGGUGGAAGUUGCAGU